AUACGUAGGGGGCGAGCGUUGUCCGGAUUUACUGGGCGUAAAGGGUGAGUAGGCGGUUGUAUAUGUCAGGUGUAAAAGGCACAGGCUUAACUUGUGUUAGCACUUGAAACUGUACAACUUGAGUGCAGGAGAGGUAAGCGGAAUUCCUAGUGUAGCGGUGAAAUGCGUAGAUAUUAGGAGGAACACCAGUGGCGAAGGCGGCUUACUGGACUGUAACUGACGCUGAGUCACGAAAGCGUGGGUAGCAAACAGGAUUAGAUACCCUGGUAGUCCACGCUGUAAACGAUGAGUGCUAGGUGUUGGGUAGCGAUACUCAGUGCCGGAGUAAACACAAUAAGCACUCCGCCUGGGGAGUACGGUCGCAAGACUGAA
rnacentral:rRNA from 1 species